rnacentral:snoRNA from 1 species
CCCAGCUGUAGACAAUGGCCUAGGUUACCUUGUACCUAGACAAGUGUUACACAGCUGGGAGAAAAGAAGCCAAUAGCUGGUGGGCAUCCUGGGCCUGAUUAAUACCAAAUU